AAAGAGAUGCUGAGGAGAAAACCCACCAAAAUUGAAGUCAAGCUCGAAGACAAACAGGAACUUGAAGAUUCCCGCAAACCCUCUCCUCCUCCCCCCACAGCCACUGCCUCUUCCUCAACCUCCUCCUCCCUACUCCACCUCCUCGACCGCUCCCACCCUAACCCCACCGCCAAAGUCCAACGCAUCGGCCUCUCCCCCUAAUGGAAGUCGAAGUAAAACUCCGCCUCCGAGACGCCGCCGCUCACCGUCAGCUAACCACCAUCCUGUCUCCUUUCCUCUCCAAAACCCUUCACCAACAAAACCUCUUCUUCGACACCUCGACAAAUACCCUUUCCUCUCAACUUUCGGUUCUUCGCCUCCGCUUCCUCAACAAUGAUGCCCGCUGCAUCGUUUCCCUCAAAUCCAAACCCACUCUGGUAGACGGUGUCAGCCGCGUGGAGGAAGAUGAGGAGGAACUAGACCCGUGUGUCGCACGCGCUUACGUGGAGGACCCGGUGAGGUUGGGGAAGAUUGAGUCGAG
rnacentral:lncRNA from 1 species